GAGCCGGUGCCCGCCGCCCGCUCGUGGGCGCCGGCGGGCGCGGCGCGAAACGGGAGUGGGCGAUGAGCUGAGCGAUCGAAAUUGUGACCCACAAAAUUUCAGUCGAGAAACGGAGAGGCUAGAGCUCCGUGCUUCCGCCAGUGAAAAUAGAAUUUCCACAAGAGGCAGAAAUGGACAGAAUACACCUCGGCCGCGUUCAGCACCGGGCAGGGGAAAUACUGGUGAAUUUAAACUGAUUUUGCCAAGGAAGAAAAAUAUUAAAGGCAUGUGGGGAAACGUUAGUUUCCCGCUAGUGUGUUCUGAUCGAAAUCUAACUAUAUGCAGAACCUAUGGCCGAAACUAGUUUCCUAAAAAGGGGAAAUAUUUUGCUCUUUCCAUAAGAAGUGCGUGUUUGUAAUACAUA